CAAGGAAAUUCAACAAAGAGAUUCACUCUUCUUUCUCCCGUUCGCGGGAUGUUAGGAGUGGUGGCGUCUUGCAUAUUAACAA
rnacentral:rRNA from 1 species